AAAAAAAAAAAAAAAAAAGAAUCCGAUAACACCAAAUAUUAGAGAAAAUGUGAGGAAAGGGGAGUUUUCAUAUACUGUUGCAGGGGCUGUAGAUUAGAACAAUCACUGUGGAGAAUAAUUUUAUAAUAUGUAUUGAAGCAGCAGAAUCUCAUUCACUAUGACCAGCAAUUCCACGUCCGGGUGUAUUACAUUACAGAAAAUGAUACCUUGUACCUCAUAGCUUAUGACAUCGAAUGAUAACUGGAAACAACCUGAACUUCAGUUAACAGACGAAUUCAUGAACACAGUUUAUUCCUACAAGGAAUACUAUAUAGCAGUUAAGAUUAAUGAAGUUAAAAAAAAAAGCUUAAUGAAGGAGCUAUCCCAGUAGUUCAUUCAUUGACAAUCUCCUCCAUUCUUCCACCAAUGGCCUCCUUCUGUGGGGAUUUUUAUUCUUACUUACGGUUCCCUCUCUCUGGAACAUUCUUUUCCCACAGAUACUCUUCUGUGUCAUUCCUGUGCUUUACCUGGCUUUCUGCACUCAAGAUCUUAUCUCCUUGGGAAGACCCUGGAGUGGACACAGUAUAAACCAUCCAAUCUCCUUGACCUGGACAAUCCUUUGACCUCCUGUAUUUGCCCCCUGGUGGCUUCUGUUUUGCCCUACAAAGACAGAUUCUGUUUCCGGGAGGUGGGUAAGUAUUUGUCGAAGCAAUACGUAGAUAUCGCAUACAUUUAGAUGUUUACAGGCCCCGUCACGAGAUUUAAGGGCUCCCUCACAUUCCUGUUUUCCUGUGGAAACAGACUGGGCCGAUCUACCUUCCUACUGCAAACCCUCUCCUAGAACUACGGGAUGAGCAGAAACAUGAGGGACAAAAGGCAGCAUGUGAAACCCUCCAGCCUCCUCACCCCCUUGCAUGCUUGCUUUCCUGGGACCUUCCACGAGGUGCUCUACACGUAGACAAGGGACCCAUCCAGGAAUAAGAUGGUGUCCAGUGGAGCAGAGCUGGCUGUGUCCUCUGAGAAUGCAAGGAAGCACAAGCAAGAGAAAAACACCUGGGCUCAGAUCCCAGUGAACUCGUCUGCUUCUCCUUGAACUUUUUGCAAUAUCAUCUAUGCUGGAAAUGAUCAUUUAAAGCCACAGUCUAGCAUAAUGUUUACAUCCUGAGGGUUGGAACUGGAGUCAUUAAGUCUUUCAAACAACAAGGUAAUGUUCAGCUACUGCUCCUGGAGGAGGGGGCGUCAUUUAGCACACUGCAGGGUGCUGAUGCGAGCUGGCAUCCUGGGAACCUGAAAGCCUUGGUACCCCUCUUUGACCUAGGGUUCACCUUGUCUUCUGUGGAGUAGCCUGGGAAUGUGAUCUCCUCGUUUUCUUAAGUUACAUAGCUAAGUGUGCUUUGAAUUACUUGUGUUAGUGGAAAGAUAAGGUAGACCCGGGUACGGGUUGUAGCCAUAUUAUUUCCUAGCCACCUUACCUUGGGCAAGCUGUUUCUUGAUCGUCCUUCCCUUUCGUCACCUGAGUGAUGGAGUUAUAAAACAUCUCCUACCUCUGGGUUUUGGGGGUUGAUGCAUUGAAAUCGUAGAUGUAAGGUACAAUGCCGGUCCAACUUGGACAGGCAAAAAAAAAAAAAAAAAAAAAUCAUACUUUCUGGCAUAGCUUGCGUCCUGUCUCUCUCUGUGGACAUAUUAAUUCUCCUUCGUACAAAUCCCAGGUGAUUACAUUGAAAUGAAUAUUCUCUUCCACAAGCCCAGAGCUGUGAGGAUUUUGUUUUUCCCCAGUUGGCUGAUUGAGGUAGAGGGCAAAGAGAAGACUUUCUCCAGAAUACCUACUUGAUAAACCUUCUUGACUGACUAUGCCUAUUUGUAAUCUCUGCUCACAACUGGGUCCUUGACAAAACCUACUAUAAACUUCUCAACCAUCAAUUAUACAUAAAAAAUGUGGGUGAAAUGAAGGAGAAGAAUUCAACAAAUAGCAUUGCUCAUAAUGGAGAGAAGAUUCUACCUUCUACAAUAUGUAAUUUGAUGAAAUAUGCUAAGCAAGGUUGGGAGAAAAUAGAACCAUUAUUUGUUGUCCGAGCUCCUGGAUCACACGCUACCACUUGCUUAUCUCACUGGGCUCAAGCUUUUCCUGUGGCAUGCCCCACUGUUCAUCUACCUCUCUGCCUCGCCCAUGGUUUGCUGAAUGCUCCCGGUGAGCCUGGUAUCCUGAAGGACCUUCGUAUCCGCUGUGGUUGGGUUCUCUCAGCUUUCUGCUUGGCCUUGGGCAAAGCCACGGUACACUCCAACUCUUCAGCUCUGGCCCGAAUGCCUUGAGCUUGAAUACAAAUAACCUUGGAGUGGGAAGCUUUUCUACUCAACUACGGACAUAGCUGAACAGAUUUUGCUUUAGUGAAAUGAAGUGGAGCCUGAAUUUAUCUGGAAAUGUGUGGAAUCAGCAGAGAGCAGUAAACACAAGUCUAGGGAAGAGGGAAA